AUGGCCUCCGGUGUGGCUGUGUGAUGGUGUCAUGAACAUGUUCAACGGCAUGAAGGUGCGUAAGUCUUCAAUGCCAGAGGAGGUGAAGAAGCACAAGAAGGCAGUGCUCUUCUGCCUUGGUGAGGACAAGAAGAACGUCAUCAAGAAGAUCCUGGUGGGCAAUGUGGGCCAGACUAUCGACAACCCCUGUGCCACCUUUGUCAGGAUGCUGCCAGAUAAGGACUGCCACUACGCCCUCUAUGACACAGCCUACAGGACCAAGGAGAGCAAGAAGGAGGACCUGGUGUUUAUCUUCUGGGUCCCUGAGUCUGCGCCCCUUAACAGCAAAAUGACCUAUUCCAGCUCCAAGGACGCCAUCAAGAAGAACCUGACAGGGGUCAAGCAUGAAUUACACGCAAACUGCUAUGAGGAGGUCAAGGACCGCUGCACCCUGGCAGAGAAGCUGGGGGGCAGUGCGGUCAUCUCCCUGGAGGACAAGCCUUUGUGAGCCCCUUCUGGUCCCCUGCCUGGAGCAUCUGGCAGCCCCACAUCUACUGUUGGGGGUUGCAGGCUGUUCCCUUCCUCUCAAACCUGAAGGGCUGGGGAGGAUCCCAGCAGAGGGAGUGCAAUCCCUUCACCCCAGUUGCCAAACAGACCCCCCACCCCCUGGAUUUUCCUCCUCCCUCCAUCCCUGAUGGUUCUGGUCUUCCCAAACUGCUUUUGAUCUUCUGAUUCCUCUUGGGUGGAAGCAAACCAAAUUCUCCCCAGGCACCCCAGUUGUGGCGUGGCCUGUAUUUUUUUUAACAACACCCCCACUCCCCACCUGUUCCUCCCCCUUCCUAUGCUGCCAACUUCUAACCGCAGUAGUGACUCUGUGUUUGUCUGUUUAGUUCUGUGUAUAAAUGGAAUGUUGUGGAGAUGACCCCUCCCUGUGACAGCUGGUUCCUCUCCCUUUUCCCCUGGUCACUGCUACUCACGGAAGCAGGAGCAGUAAGGGACCUUCGAUUAAAAAAAAAAAAAAA